CAGGAGGAAGUCUGACAGGAGCAGUAUUUAAUCCAGCUUUGGCACUUUCACUACAUUUCAUGUGUUUUGAUGAAGCAUUCCCUCAAUUUUUUACAGUAUACUGGCUGGCUCCUUCUUUAGGUAUAUUGUUGAUGAUUUUGACGUUCAGCUUUUUCCUUCCAUGGCUGCGUAACAACAACCAUACAAUUAAUAAAAAGGAGUAACUAUUCCAAAAGUCUCAAACUAAGAUACAGGAAAGUCAAGCUGGAAGUGAUAAAGAUUUUAUCACCUCAGAUUAAAAACACUGGCUGCACUGGAUACAUCAAUGUUAACUUCCUUUGAGGAAGCUGCCUUACAGUUCAUCACUGGGACUUAAAAAAAAUUACUGUGAAAACGAGGUAUCCUGUAUUUCUAAGCUAAAACUUGUUCUUUUGAGUGAUGUCUUAAAUGCUGCUAGAAAAGAUUCAUUACAUUAAAUAUAAGUCUUAAGUGA